GACGAACGCUGGCGGCGUGCUUAACACAUGCAAGUCGAACGGAAAGGCCCUGCUUUUGUGGGGUGCUCGAGUGGCGAACGGGUGAGUAACACGUGAGUAACCUGCCCUUGACUUUGGGAUAACUUCAGGAAACUGGGGCUAAUACCGUAUAGGAGCUCCUGCUGCAUGGUGGGGGUUGGAAAGUUUCGGCGGUUGGGGAUGGACUCGCGGCUUAUCAGCUUGUUGGUGGGGUAGUGGCUUACCAAGGCUUUGACGGGUAGCCGGCCUGAGAGGGUGACCGGCCACAUUGGGACUGAGAUACGGCCCAGACUCCUACGGGAGGCAGCAGUGGGGAAUAUUGCACAAUGGGCGGAAGCCUGAUGCAGCAACGCCGCGUGCGGGAUGACGGCCUUCGGGUUGUAAACCGCUUUCGCCUGCGACGAAGCGUGAGUGACGGUAAUGGGUAAAGAAGCACCGGCUAACUACGUG
rnacentral:rRNA from 1 species